rnacentral:sRNA from 1 species
GUAGAAAUGUACAGAAUAUGGGGAAACUCUCAUUGCUCUCAUCUCCAUUCAAAGACACAUGUCAGUGCACACUGGAGAUGGAUGAUAUGAAUCAAAGAAUACACACUGGAUGGAAACGUUAGUAGUUUGGAAAAUACAGGAAACUUCAAUUUUAACAACAAUUAAAAUUCACAUAGGAAUGAGCCACCGCGCCCGGCCCAUGAGUCUUUAUUAAUAGAGAUUUCUUGCUGGUGUUAUGUGGCAGAUUCUGCAUAUUCCUCACCCAUCAUAUGUAUUCCACUUUCCUUUAUUAUGGGGAAAACUACUUUUUUUUAUGGGGAAAACUACUCUUUUUGGCAUGAUACAAUGUUUACUCCAUUUUCUUUGCUAAUAAGGACUUGGUAUCAAUUUAUCAGUAUGUAAAGUUUACCAUAGAGUAUUGUCUCAUGUGAAUCAUUCCCAUUUUUUGCCCUUUACUCUUUGUCAUUAUUUGAGUAUUAUUUGGAUGGUUCAUUUUGACUUAAGGACAGCCCUGUGAUACGACAAUAUUUUUAUCUAAUCUGAUGGAGAAAGCAUUUAGUCUCCUGAUCAAGUAUGGUAUUAGCUGCAGGUUUUUAAU